rnacentral:rRNA from 1 species
UACGUAGGGGGCGAGCGUUGUCCGGAAUCAUUGGGCGUAAAGAGCGUGUAGGCGGCUUGGCAAGUCUGACGUGAAAGCCCGCGGCUCAACCGCGGAUUGUCGUUGGAAACUGCCUCGCUAGAGUCCGGAAGAGGAGAGCGGAAUUCCUGGUGUAGCGGUGGAAUGCGCAGAUAUCAGGAGGAACACCUAUAGCGAAGGCAGCUCGCUGGGACGACACUGACGCUGAGACGCGAAAGCGUGGGGAGCGAACAGG